UUGUCUCAAAGCUUAAGCCAUGCAAGUCUCAGUACAAAUCGAAUUAAAGUGAAACCGCAAACGGCUCAUUAAAUCAGUUUUAGUUUACUUGAGGGUAAACUAAAUAGUUGUGGAUAACUGUGGCAAUUCUAGAGCUAAUACAUGCAAUCAAGUUCCGACCAGUGAUGGAAAGAACGCUUUUAUUAGAUCAAAAUCAAUCGGUCGGCUUGUCCGGUCCGUUUGACUUGAUGACUCUGAAUAACCACGCAGAUCGCACGGUCCUAGUACCGGCGACGCUCCUUUCAAAUGCCUGACUUAUCAACUGUCGAUGGUAGACUUUACGUCUACCAUGGUUGUAACGGGUGACGGGGAAUCAGGGUUCGAUUCCGGAGAGGGAGCCUGAGAAACAGCUACCACAUCCAAGGAAGGCAGCAGGCACGCAAAUUACCCACUCCCGGCACGGGGAGGUAGUGACAAAAAAUAACGAUACGGGACUCAUCCGAGGCCCCGUAAUCGGAAUGAGAACUCUCUAAAUC
rnacentral:rRNA from 1 species